AUACGGAGGAUCCGAGCGUUAUCCGGAUUUAUUGGGUUUAAAGGGUGCGCAGGCGGCCAUUUAAGUCAGCGGUUAAAUCGUGGGGCUCAACCCCAUUCUGCCGUUGAUACUGGGUGGCUUGAUUGCGGUCGAGGUUGGCGGAAUUCGUUGUGUAGCGGUGAAAUGCAUAGAUAUGACGAAGAACACCGAUUGCGUAGGCAGCUGACCAGACCGCAAAUGACGCUCAUGCACGAAAGUGCGGGGAUCGAACAGGAUUAGAUUCCCUGGUAGUCCGCACAGUAAACGAUGAAUACUUGUUUUCGGCGAUAUAAUGUCGGAGGCAAAGCGAAAGCGAUAAGUAUUCCACCUGGGGAGUACGCCGGCAACGGUGAAACUUAAAGGAAUUGACGGGG
rnacentral:rRNA from 1 species